rnacentral:tRNA from 1 species
GCAUCGGUGGUUCAGUGGUAGAAUUCUCGCCUGCCACGCGGGAGACCUGGGUCCGAUUCCCGGCCAACGCC